rnacentral:lncRNA from 1 species
AGAUUAGUGAGUUGUCCUAAGACUUUUUGUUCUGAGCUCCAUUGAAUAAAAGAUGAGAACAAAAUGAUAAUAAUAAUAAUUAUAAUAAACUCUCAUUUCUGAUACUCUUUAAGGUUUACAAAGCAUUUUCUGUACAACAAUCAUGUGUGACAUGGUAGUCCAAGUAUUCCUGUUUUACAGAUUUGGAAACUGAGGCCAGGAGAGAGCCAAUAACUUAAAACGAGGCAUACCCACAUCGUUCAUCACUUUCCCCUUCCUACCAUUUUUUUACAGAGGAAUGAGGCUGUUAAUAUCAAAGCAAGAACUGGGGAGUUCAUCCAUAGUGAAAUGGGAGCUGGAGAAGAGGCUGGUGACACACAGAAAGAC